rnacentral:rRNA from 1 species
UACGUAGGGGGCAAGCGUUGUCCGGAAUCAUUGGGCGUAAAGAGCGUGUAGGCGGCCAGAAAAGUCCGCUGUGAAAACUCGAGGCUCAACUUCGAGCUGUCGGUGGAAACUUUCUGGCUAGAGUCCGGAAGAGGAGAAUGGAAUUCCUGGUGUAGCGGUGAAAUGCGCAGAUAUCAGGAAGAACACCCGUGGCGAAGGCGGUUCUCUGGGCAGUAACUGACGCUGAGGAGCGAAAGCGUGGGGAGCGAACAGG